rnacentral:rRNA from 1 species
AGCAGCCGCGGUAAUCCCAGCUCCAAUAGCGUAUAUUAAAGUUGUUGCAGUUAAAAAGCUCGUAGUUGAAUUUCGGGAUUGACACAUCGGUCGUGCCUUAAGGGGUAUGAACUGGUGUAGUCAAUUUCUCACCUUCUGGAGAACCGCGAUGCCCUUAAUUGGGUGUCGCGAGGAACCAGGACCUUUACUUUGAAAAAUUAGAGUGUUUAAAGCAGGCAUUUUGCUUGAAUACAUUAGCAUGGAAUAAUAAAAUAGGACGGCAUGAUUCUAUUUUGUUGGUUUUAGGAUCACCGUAAUGAUUAAUAGGGAUAGUUGGGGGCAUUAGUAUUCAAUUGUCAGAGGUGAAAUUCUUGGAUUUAUUGAAGACUAACUACUGCGAAAGCAUUUGCCAAGGAUGUUUUCAUUAAUCAAGAACGAAAGUUAGGGGAUCGAAGACGAUCAGAUACCGUCGUAGUCUUAACCAUAAACUAUGCCGACUAGGAAUCAGACGAUGUUAAUUUUUAAUGACUCGUUUGGCACC